CCUACGGGAGGCAGCAGUGAGGAAUAUUGGUCAAUGGCCGGGAGGCUGAACCAGCCAAGUCGCGUGAGGGAAGACGGCCCUACGGGUUGUAAACCUCUUUUGUCAGGGAGCAAGGUGCAGGUCGGGACCUGCUGUGAGAGUACCUGAAGAAAAAGCAUCGGCUAACUCCGUGCCAUCAGCCGCGGUAAUACGGGGGAUGCGAGCGUUAUCCGGAUUUAUUGGGUUUAAAGGGUGCGCAGGCGGAGGCACAAGUCAGCGGUAAAAUCGCGGGGCUCAACCCCGCUCCGCGGUUGAAACUGUGUGCCUUGAGUGCGCGAAGGGUAGGCGGAAUGCGUGGUGUAGCGGUGAAAUGCAUAGAUAUCACGCAGAACUCCGAUCGCGAACGCAGGCGACCGGCGCGCAACUGACGCUCAUGCACGAAAGCGUGGGUAUCGAACAGGAUUAGAUACCCCGGUAGUC
rnacentral:rRNA from 1 species